AAGUCGUAACAAGGUUUCCGUAGGUGAACCUGCGGAAGGAUCAUUAUUGAAUUAUGUUUUCUAGAUGGGUUGUAGCUGGCUCCUAGGAGCAUGUGCACGCCUGUCUGGACUUCAUUUUCAUCCACCUGUGCACCUUUUGUAGUCUUUGUUGGGUAUGGAGGAAGUGGUCAGCCUUAUCAGCUCUCGCUGGAUAUGAGGACUUGCAGUGUGAAAGCAGUGCUGUCCGCUACUUGGCCAUGGAAUCUGUUUCCCAUCAGAGUCUAUGUUGUUCAUUAUACCCUAUAAACUGUUAUUGAAUGUCUUUACAUGGGCUUCUAUGCCUAUGAAAAUUGUAAUACAACUUUCAGCAACGGAUCUCUUGGCUCUC
rnacentral:misc_RNA from 1 species